GAUGAACGCUGGCGGCGUGCCUAAUACAUGCAGGUAGAACGCUGAAGGAGGAGCUUGCUCUUCUGGAUGAGUUGCGAACGGGUGAGUAACGCGUAGGUAACCUGCCUGGUAGCGGGGGAUAACUAUUGGAAACGAUAGCUAAUACCGCAUGACAACAGUUAUUGCAUGAUAACUGUUUAAAAGGGGCAACUGCUCCACUACCAGAUGGACCUGCGUUGUAUUAGCUAGUUGGUGAGGUAACGGCUCACCAAGGCGACGAUACAUAGCCGACCUGAGAGGGUGAUCGGCCACACUGGGACUGAGACACGGCCCAGACUCCUACGGGAGGCAGCAGUAGGGAAUCUUCGGCAAUGGACGGAAGUCUGACCGAGCAACGCCGCGUGAGUGAAGAAGGUUUUCGGAUCGUAAAGCUCUGUUGUAAGAGAAGAACGAGUGUGAGAGUGGAAAGUUCACACUGUGACGGUAGCUUACCAGAAAGGGACGGCUAACUACGUG
rnacentral:rRNA from 1 species